GACGAACGCCGGCGGCGUGCUUAACACAUGCAAGUCGAACGGUAAGGCUCCAGCUUGCUGGGGUACACGAGUGGCGAACGGGUGAGUAACACGUGGGUGACCUGCCCUGCACUUCGGGAUAAGCCUGGGAAACUGGGUCUAAUACCGGAUAGGACCAUGGUGUGGAUACUGUGGUGGAAAGUUUUUUCGGUGUGGGAUGGGCCCGCGGCCUAUCAGCUCGUUGGUGGGGUAAUGGCCUACCAAGGCGGCGACGGGUAGCCGGCCUGAGAGGGUGGACGGCCACAUUGGGACUGAGACACGGCCCAGACUCCUACGGGAGGCAGCAGUGGGGAAUAUUGCACAAUGGGCGGAAGCCUGAUGCAGCGACGCCGCGUGGGGGAUGACGGCCUUCGGGUUGUAAACUCCUUUCACCAUCGACGAAGGGUUUCUGACGGUAGAUGGAGAAGAAGCACCGGCUAACUACGUG
rnacentral:rRNA from 1 species